GUGCUCGUUUCGGCAGUACACAUACCAAAAUUGGGACGAUACACAAAAGAUUAGCAUGGACCCUGUGCAAGGAUGAUAUGCAAAUCAGUGAAGCAAUCCAUAUUUUA